rnacentral:tRNA from 1 species
CCCCGCCCUCGGCCACGGCCGGCCCCGAUCUUGCCGAGGUCGCCGGGCAGUGGCUCGGCCGGCGGGCCCUGGAGGUCGCCGCCGCAGGCGGGCACCA